rnacentral:rRNA from 1 species
UACGUAGGCAGCAAGCGUUGUUCGGAGUUACUGGGCGUAAAGAGUGCGUAGGCGGUCCUGUAAGUUUGGUGUGAAAUCUCCCGGCUCAACUGGGAGGGUGCGCCGAAGACUGCAGGGCUUGAGUAUGGGAGAGGUAAGCGGAAUUCCUGGUGUAGCGGUGAAAUGCGUAGAGAUGUGGAGGAACACCAGUGGCGAAGGCGGCUUUCUGGUCUGUAACUGACGCUGAGGCGCGAAAGCGUGGGGAGCAAACAGG